rnacentral:rRNA from 1 species
UACGGAGGGUGCAAGCGUUAUCCGGAUUCACUGGGUUUAAAGGGUGCGUAGGUGGGUCUGUAAGUCCGUGGUGAAAUCUCCGAGCUUAACUUGGAAACUGCCAUGGACUACUAUAGGUCUUGAAUAUUGUGGAGGUUCAGCGGAAUAAUGUCAUGUAGCGGUGAAAUGCUUAGAUAUGACAUAGAACACCAAUUGCGAAGGCAGCUGGCUACGCAUAUAUUGACACUGAGGCACGAAAGCGUGGGGAUCAAACAGG